rnacentral:rRNA from 1 species
UGGGGAAUCUUGCGCAAUGGGCGAAAGCCUGACGCAGCGACGCCGCGUGCGGGAAGAAGGCCUUCGGGUUGUAAACCGCUUUCAGGAGGGACGAAGCCACUCGGGUGAACAGCCCAGAGGGUGACGGUACCUCCAGAAGAAGCCCCGGCUAACUACGUGCCAGCAGCCGCGGUAAUACGUAGGGGGCUAGCGUUGUCCGGAUUUAUUGGGCGUAAAGAGCGUGUAGGCGGCCAGGUAGGUCGGUUGUGAAAACUGGAGGCUCAACCUUCAGAGGUCGACCGAAACCCCCUGGCUAGAGUCCGGGAGAGGAGAGUGGAAUUCCUGGUGUAGCGGUGAAAUGCGCAGAUAUCAGGAAGAACACCCGUGGCGAAAGCGGCUCUCUGGAACGGUACUGACGCUGAGACGCGAAAGCGUGGGGAGCGAACGGGGAUUAGAUACCCUGGUAGUCCACGCCGUAAACGAUGGGCGCUAGGUGUGGGAGGUGUCGACUCCUUCCGUGCCGAAGCUAACGCAUUAAGCG